rnacentral:lncRNA from 1 species
UGUACUAGACCGCCUGUUGUGGCACCCCCCGGCCAAUGUAAGGGGAGGAAUGUUGCCAUUUUCAGGGGACACACAAGUUCACAAGUAGCACCAGACUAGCAACCAUCACUACUUAGGUCACAAGCAACACAAAGAUCAAGGUAUCUAGGUAGAAGAAGAGUAGCGAUAGCCGUCCUUGGGUAGUUAUGUUAGUAACACGUGCACCUUAGCUAGACAUCCCGAGCACCCCACUGUAACCCUCUAACAUGUAACAUACUAUUUUCAUACCAGUCAAUAACAUGAUGAAGGGUAUUACACUAUCAAUGGUGGCCUAAAACUGUAUAAAAU